rnacentral:rRNA from 1 species
AUUGAACGCUGGCGGCAUGCCUUACACAUGCAAGUCGAACGGCAGCACGGGGCAACCUGGUGGCGAGUGGCGAACGGGUGAGUAGUGCAUCGGAACGUACCUUUCAGUGGGGGAUAACGUAGCGAAAGUUACGCUAAUACCGCAUAUUCUGUGAGCAGGAAAGCAGGGGAUCGCAAGACCUUGCGCUGAUUGAGCGGCCGAUGUCAGAUUAGCUAGUUGGUGAGGUAAAGGCUCACCAAGGGGACGAUCUGUAGCGGGUCUGAGAGGAUGAUCCGGCACACUGGAACUGAGACACGGUCCAGACUCCUACGGGAGGCAGCAGUGGGGAAUUUUGGACAAUGGGGGCAACCCUGACCCAGCCAUGCCGCGUGAGUGAAGAAGGCCUUCGGGUUGUAAAGCUCUUUCGGCCGGGAAGAAAUCGCACGGGCUAAUACCCUGUGUGGAUGACGGUACCGGAAUAAGAAGCACCGGCUAACUACGUGCCAGCCGCGCCGUAAUAC